UACGGGGGGAGCAAGCGUUGUUCGGAUUUACUGGGCGUAAAGGGCGCGUAGGCGGCGCAACAAGUCACUUGUGAAAUCUCCGGGCUUAACUCGGAGCGGCCAAGUGAUACUGUCGUGCUAGAGUGCGGAAGGGGCUACUGGAAUUCUCGGUGUAGCGGUGAAAUGCGUAGAUAUGCGGAGGAACACCGAUGGCGAAGGCAAUCCCCUGGACCUGUACUGACGCUCAUGCACGAAAGCGUGGGGAGCAAACAGG
rnacentral:rRNA from 1 species